rnacentral:rRNA from 1 species
AGUCGAACGAGAAUGUGUAGCAAUACACAUGUACAGUGGCGAACGGGUGAGGAAUACAUAGGUAACCUACCCUCGAGUGGGGGAUAACUAGCCGAAAGGUUAGCUAAUACCGCGUACGCUCCCUGGACUGCGGUUCAGGGAGGAAAGCGAUACCGUGGGUAUCGCGCUCUUGGAUGGGCUUAUGUCCUAUCAGCUUGUUGGUGAGGUAACGGCUCACCAAGGCUUCGACGGGUAGCUGGUCUGAGAGGACGAUCAGCCACACUGGCACUGCGACACGGGCCAGACUCCUACGGGAGGCAGCAGUAAGGAAUAUUGCGCAAUGGGCGAAAGCCUGACGCAGCGACGCCGCGUGGGGGACGAAGGUCUUCGGAUUGUAAACCCCUUUCGGGAGGGAAGAUGGAACGGGUAACCGUUCGGACGGUACCUCCAGAAGAAGCCACGGCUAACUUCGUGCCAGCAGCCGCGGUAAUACGAAGGUGGCAAGCGUUGUUCGGAUUUACUGGGCGUACAGGGAGCGUAGGCGGUUUGGUAAGCCCUCUGUGAAAUCUCCAGGCUUAACCUGGAACAGUCGGAGGGGACUGCUGAGCUAGAGGAUGGGAGAGGAGCGCGGAAUUCCCGGUGUAGCGGUGAAAUGCGUAGAGAUCGGGAGGAAGGCCGGUGGCGAAGGCGGCGCUCUGGAACAUUUCUGACGCUGAGGCUCGA